rnacentral:lncRNA from 1 species
CAGGAAAUUCAGGGUCAUGGAACACUUCGCUGGACCUGCCACAUUGGUACAGUUUUCACAGGUGCAGUGGUCGGGGGCAUGCCGGGGCGUCACAUCCAAAGGAAAAGACAAGUUUUGCAUCUUGCACCUCCCAUCACAAAGACAGAAGCGCAGAACAUGCUGAGGGCAUUUGAGUUCUGCAAACAGCAUAUCCCCUACCUGGGAAUACUGCUUCAACCAGAGCACCAUUCUAAGUUUAACAGCUUUGAGAAAGGACCAGGAAAAAGGCAGGGCUCUGCAUCAGGCCUGGGAUGCCGUGCAAGCAGCCCUACCACUUGGCCCGUGUGAGCCAAGAGGCCGUUCGGCAUUAGAGGUAUGGGUGGUGGGAAAAGAUGCCAUGUAGAGUUUUUGGCAAAUCCCAAUGGGAAAAGCACAAUGCAGACAGCCAGGAUCCCGGGGCGAGGCUAUGCCGUCUGCAUCUACAAUGUUUUAACAAUAGCUCUGGUGUGCUGUAGAGACCUAAUGAAGACAGAGCACCUAACCAUGGGACACCAACUGACCGUGUGACCAAAGCGGCCCAUCAUGACUGGGUUCUGUCAGAACCAGCACAUCACACCACGGGAUGGGCCAAGGAGCAAUGCAUCAUAGGACUGGAUUAGCACCUCUGGGAUUAAGCACAAGCAGGACCAGAGGACACACUCAAGCUGCACCAGCGCUCCACAUCACCGGCUGUUACUGCACCAGCACCUCCCCCUCAGCUCACACCUAUGGCCACACGGAGGAUCCUUGUGACCAGCUGAUUGAACAUGAAGGAGCUCAAGCUUGCUUCAUGGAUGGGCUGGUGUGCAUGUGGGUGCAAGCUGAAAAUGGACAGUGACUGCAUUACAGCCCUGUUCAAGGGUGGUCUUGAAAAACAAUGGUGAGGGAAAGCUUCAGGUGGUGUCCCUGGUCAUCCACUUGGUGUUCAAAGAGAAGUGGCCUAAGAUUGCACUCACAGGCAGUAUCAAAUGGCUUCACUGAAUGGGCAGGGGCCUAGAAGGAAAAAAACUGGCAGAUUGGCAACAAGAAAUUCUGGAGUAGACACGUGCAUGGACCUGUGAGAGGGCGCACACUGUGAAGAUCUUUGUGUCACAUGUUAGCAGCCACAAGAGGGAGGCACAAAGAAUACACGUAGAUAAAAUGACUAACCAGUUGAUGGCAACCAGCCUCUGUCAUCAGCCACUGCAGCGUUGGGACUACAGGCACAUGAAGGGAAGAGCCAUGGAGGCGAAUAUGGAGGCUAUGCAUGGGUCCACGAGCAUGGGCUCCCGCUUACCAAAGCUUUUCCAGCUGCUGCUACUGCCAAGUCGCUAACAUUCCAGCAGAGAGAGUGAUACUGAGUCCCCGGUAUAGCACCAUCCCUCAAGGAGACCAACCAGACACUCUGCAAACAGACUUCAUUGGACAUCUUCCACCUUGAAGAAACAGUAGUUCAUUUUAAGAUGCAUGGACACAUAUUCUGGAUUUGGCUUUCAUUUCUUGUCUGUAGGGCCUUGGCUAGCACCAUUAUCCAAGGGCUUUACAUAGUGUUAAAUGCACUGUCAUGGGAUCCCAUAUAACAUCACGUCAGACCAAGGAAUACACUUGUUCAGCAAAGGAGUUGUUGGAAUGUGCACGUGACCAUGGACUCCACUGGUUCCAUCUCAUGCUAAACCACCCAGAAGCUGCUAGACAGACAGAGCAUGGCCUAGAUGGACCUGUUGAAAGCUUAGCUGAUACACUAGCUCAAAGGUGAUACUUUGUGAGGCUGGACCACCGUUCUCCAGGAGGCAGGGUACACCUUAAAUCAAACACUUUUAUAUGGCGCUGUGUUCACAAUGAGUAGAAUACGUAAGUCUAGGAAGCAGGAAUUAGAAACAGGAGCGAUCCCGCCACCCAUCACUCCCAGUCACCUACUUGAAGAAUUUUACCUUCCUAUCCUCACAACACUGAGUUCUGUGGGUUUUGAGGUCCCAGCUUCUAGAGGGGGAGUGCUUCUGACAGGGGACACAGCCACACCCCCACUGAACUAUAAGCAUGGCUGAUCCUUGGGCACUUCUAGCUCCUUGCACCAAGGGGCCAACAGGCAAGCAGAGGAGUUGCUGUCUUGAAAGGGAUAACAACCUGAUCGUCAGGAACAGAGAGGGCUCUCAUUCUACACAGCGAAGGGAGGAAUAUGUGUAGAAUCUAGACGGUCUACUUAGGCACCUGUUGGUCCUCCCUUCUCCAACUUUGGAAGAAAAAUAGACUACAGCCUGAGAGGGACAUAAUGGCCAGGGGCUCCGAUCUCUCAGGCAUGAGGGUCUAGUCUCACCACCAGGAAACCCACCGAGAUCAGCAGAGCUGCAGGUUGAGAGUGAGGGAAAUCUUCAGUGGAUAACAGAGGAGGGAGAAGAUGAGUAUCCGUUGUCACCCUGAAACCAGCUGUAGCUUCAGGAUUUACGAUUUGCCCCACUACCCUUCCUCUCGUAAGUCCCCACUAGGAACAGAGGCUCACUGGUAUCUUGGAGGACCUUUUCUCGGAAACUAUAAGAAGAAGAGGAUCCAAGUGUUGCAAGGGGUGGACUGUAGUGGCUUCUUUGCUAAAUCGUCCAGAUUCCUACUCAGGAGGAUUCCUAUUCAGGAAUGAAGGUCUUACUGCCCAGCUGCUGGGAGUGCUGACAGAAGACGGCCCUCAGCUCUCAGCCUGUGGAGUUUGCUUUAUCUAAAGAAAACUGCCUGGUGCCCUGAAGAUCACACCUCCUUCCAGGGACAACUUGCACUGAAUUACGCUCUUGCCCUGAUUUAGGACACCUCUAAAAAGGCUACCCCUGCUCCAGUGCUCCAUAUGGGGUGGCUGAUGACUGCAUCAUAUCCCAGCUUCUCCCUCUGUCUAAUCCUGCGUUUCCCCUCUCCCUUCACAAGUAAUGAUCCCAAUAAAUGAGAUCACUGAACGACUUCACUGGGAACAUGGCCUACAACAGCCAGUAAAACUUGGGUUGUUACCAGAUGAGAUAAUUUUUAUUCAUAGGCUGGUGAGGUCUAUGAAUAAAAAAUGUUGGUUAUAAAAAGUAGUCAAUUUUCUUAAUACCAAACUAUAAUUAUGAGCCUCUUGCUAGUUGUCAGUUGAUUUUGAUCAAAUAUAUGUAGCAAAGUGAACACUUUUUGAGAAUUCCUAAAUACAUUCAGUCUGGGCACAUCUCACUUCAGAUGCCAGAUUCCCAACCCUGAUUUCAAUUCUAGAUUUGAAUUUUAGCCAUUUCGUAAAAGAGAAUGAAUUUUCACAGAGCUAGUAGAGGCCAGUGUUCCUCAGAGUUUUGAUACAUGGUCAGAAACUUCAGGAGAAUUUGUGGAUUCAUAUAUUCAUUUCCAGAAUCCUAAGGUUUUGUGCCUUCUUUGCAUGCAUAGCUUGUUUUCCAGCCCAAUCAGUUCUUGAAACUGAACCAUACUGAUAAAGCAGAUGUUUAAUAAUUCAGAUAUAUGCUGAGGUUUGCAUUCCAAGGCCAAUUGUAGAAACUUAAAAACAUGUCUCAUUUUUAUCAGACUUUAUGAAUCUUGUCUUGAAUUAUGACUUCAAAUCCACCCCAUAGCAGCUGUAUAAACUCCGUGGCAGUUUGGGAGGGGCUCGGGACAGAUCAGGAAAGUGGAGUCGGUGUGUUCCAGCUGCCAUCUGUCUGCUCACGUGCCCACUUCCAUCUGAGUGCCUGGACAAAUCAGCAAAGUGGGUUUUUCUUCCUUGCCACUUCAAGUUCAGGGCUUGUCUCAUCAGCAAGAAAGUUCCAUCUUGGGAGCCUUUGGGAAAAGAACAAGCUGUUUCCUCUGAGAUCUUUCAUGACCGAAAGUUACUGACCUGAGGAUGUAGUUCAGAGCGCCUCCUCGACGAGUUUGCACAAUCUUGCACUCUACUGCACUGACAGGGAGGUCUCCGCGCUCGACUGCGCGUGCCUCUGUAGAGCCGAUGUACCGAGUAUCAUUAAGGGGACAAGUAUAAAGAUAUGCACACACAAUCGUUUCAUGGUGCUCAUCAUAUAGUGAGCCCGAGUGG